rnacentral:rRNA from 1 species
UACGUAGGGUGCAAGCGUUGUCCGGAAUUAUUGGGCGUAAAGAGCUCGUAGGCGGUCUGUCGCGUCGGCUGUGAAAUCCCGAGGCUCAACCUCGGGUCUGCAGUCGAUACGGGCAAACUAGAGUAUUGCAGGGGAGACUGGAAUUCCUGGUGUAGCGGUGAAAUGCGCAGAUAUCAGGAGGAACACCCGUGGCGAAAGGCGGCUCUCUGGGACGGUACUGACGCUGAGACGCGAAAGCGUGGGGAGCGAACAGG